GAUGAACGCUGGCGGCGUGCCUAAUACAUGCAAGUCGAACGAAACUUCUUUAUCACCGAGUGCUUGCACUCACCGAUAAAGAGUUGAGUGGCGAACGGGUGAGUAACACGUGGGCAACCUGCCCAAAAGAGGGGGAUAACACUUGGAAACAGGUGCUAAUACCGCAUAACCAUAGUUACCGCAUGGUAACUAUGUAAAAGGUGGCUAUACUACCGCUUUUGGAUGGGCCCGCGGCGCAUUAGCUAGUUGGUAGGGUAAAGGCUUACCAAGGCAAUGAUGCGUAGCCGAAUUGAGAGGUUGAUCGGCCACAUUGGGACUGAGACACGGCCCAAACUCCUACGGGAGGCAGCAGUAGGGAAUCUUCCACAAUGGGCGAAAGCCUGAUGGAGCAACGCCGCGUGGGUGAAGAAGGUCUUCGGAUCGUAAAACCCUGUUGUUAGAGAAGAAAGUGCGUGAGAGUAACUGUUCACGUUUCGACGGUAUCUAACCAGAAAGCCACGGCUAACUACGUGCCAGCAGCCGCGGUAAUACGUAGGUGGCAAGCGUUAUCCGGAUUUAUUGGGCGUAAAGGGAACGCAGGCGGUCUUUUAAGUCUGAUGUGAAAGCCUUCGGCUUAACCGGAGUAGUGCAUUGGAAACUGGGAGACUUGAGUGCAGAAGCGGAGAGUGGAACUCCAUGUGUAGCGGUGAAAUGCGUAGAUAUAUGGAAGAACACCAGUGGCGAAAGCGGCUCUCUGGUCUGUAACUGACGCUGAGGUUCGAAAGCGUGGGUAGCAACCAGAAGUAGAUACCCUGGUAGUCCACGCCGUAAACGAAUGAAUGCUAAGUGGUUGGAAGGGUUUCCGCCCUUCAUUGCUGCAUCUUAAGCAAUAAGUCUUCCCGCCUGGGGGAGUACGACCGCAAGGUUGAAACUCAAAAGGAAUUGACGGGGGCCCGCACAAGCGGUGGAGCAUGUGGUUUAAUUUGAAGCAACGCGAAGAACCUUACCAGGUCUUGACAUCUUUUGACAAUCCUAGAGAUAGGACUUUCCCUUCGGGGACAAAAUGACAGGUGGUGCAUGGUUGUCGUCAGCUCGUGUCGUGAGAUGUUGGGUUAAGUCCCGCAACGAGAGCAACCCUUAUUGUUAGUUGCCAGCAUUAAGUUGGGCACUCUAGCAAGACUGCCGGUGACAAACCGGAGGAAGGUGGGGAUGACGUCAAAUCAUCAUGCCCCUUAUGACCUGGGCUACACACGUGCUACAAUGGAUGGUACAACGAGUCGCAAGACCGCGAGGUUUAGCAAAUCUCUUAAAGCCGUUCUCAGUUCGGAUUGUAGGCUGCAACUCGCCUACAUGAAGUCGGAAUCGCUAGUAAUCGCGGAUCAGCAUGCCGCGGUGAAUACGUUCCCGGAAAUUGUACACACCGCCCGUCACACCAUGAGAGUUUGUAACACCCAAAGCCGGUGGGGUAACCUUU
rnacentral:rRNA from 1 species